AUUGAACGCUGGCGGCAGGCCUAACACAUGCAAGUCGAGCGGAGCGGCGGACGGGUGGGUAAUGCCUAGGAAUCUGCCUGGUAGUGGGGGAUAACGUCAGGAAAGGGGCGCUAAUACCGCAUACUAUCAGAUGAGCCUAGGUCGGAUUAGCUAGUUGGUGGGUUAAAGGCCUACCAAGGCGACGAUCCGUGACUGGUCUGAGAGGAUGAUCAGGCACACUGGAACUGAGACACGGUCCAGAUCCCGACGGGAGGCAGCAGUGGGGAAUAUGGGACAAUGGGCGAAAGCCUGAUCCAGCCAUGCCGGGUGUGUGAAGAAGGUCUUCGGAUGUUAAAGCAUGUUAAGUUGGGAGGCGUUACCAACAGAAUAAGCACCGGCUAACUUCGUGCCAGCAGCCGCGGUAAUAC
rnacentral:rRNA from 1 species